GGCAGCGGCAGAAGCAGAGCUUGCUCCGGCUGCAGUCCUUCUUCUUCUUCCUCCUCUUCGUCCAGACGCGACAUGUCUGAGGCAUAGUCUUUCCUCUUGAUUUAUUCCGAGCAAAGGGACAUGCGAGGAGAUGAUAGCAACAUCAUUCAAACGAUGAUUUAAUCACAGACCGAGCACUGACAUAUCGGCAUCGAGCUGCUAUCAGCCAAAAAAGUUCUCCAGCUCCUUUUGCCCGUGCCUUGCGCUGGGAGUGGUCAUCCCAGGUUCCCCGUGCGGUGUUUCACUCCGGAAGCGACACCCAAAAACUUUCCUGCCGUCAAUUUCUCCGGGAUUAAUAGCCCACCGAUUUGGAAACACGUCGCACUUCUUCAGCUGUGUUUUACGAGCUCAGCGCACGGCAGCCCGGCUAGCUCAGUCGGUAGAGCAUGAGACUCUUAAUCUCAGGGUCGUGGGUUCGAGCCCCACGUUGGGCGGAUGCCUUUUUUUUUGUUGGUUUUUUUUAAGUUUAAAACAUUUCUUCCUUUAUGUUCAGGAUGUCGUAUGAAUUUCUGCCCCUGCAGCAACUGCAAGCUGCGUUGGUUUGGGUAAUGGAAGAAAUCGUAAGGAGAGAUUGUGGAGAAGGCACUUCCUACACAGAGCGAUUCAUAAAACCAAAUUAAAUUCCCAUUUUGUUCUUUUUCCAACCUCAGCUAGGAUAGCCAAACAGCCCAAUGGCCAGUCAUCUUUUGCUGCCUCCAGAAUGAGGUGCACUCAGAAAGAUUUCUUCGGAGACAUCACAAAUCCCUGGUGGAGGAUCUGAGUGACAAUGCACAGCUCUGUCACCAAGUUAGUAUAAUGUUUCAUGCCCAGCAAGAUGGGGAAAAGGAGACGUGUCCAGGUGACAAACCGCAUUCCCUUUUGCAGACAAGGGUCUUUAGCUGUGUCCCAGCUGCCUGGAGGGGAAGGGAGACAGAAGGAAUUCCCUCCUGGGUUUCUCAUUUAAGUGCCAGGACAGGUGGCUGCUUGGAAGGAUUAAGUACAGCCCUUUCUGUGACCCCACUUCGCUUGCUUUUCUCUAUCGCUUUAUGUCCUCAUAAAGCUUUUGAAUUUAUAGCUUUUUUUCCAAUUGAUUGACAGAUUGAUUUACAUAUAUUGAGCAAAUGAUCCUGUUUUUUGAAUUUAUAGCUGUGUCCCUGAUGCCUGGAGGGGAAGAGAGACAAAGGAGGAAUUCCUUCCUGGGUUUCCAGCAUCAGAGAAAGUGUCAGGACAUGGAUGGAUCUGGGUGGCUGCUUGCAGUGGUGACGCGUAGGGGGUGUACGGUGGUGCACAUGCACCCCGAGAGCACUGGUGCACCCCCUGACAGGCCAUGCUCCCCACUUAGGUGACGGUCGGUGGGGGCUGGCCGGAGAGCAGGAGCGCCAGAUGGAGUGCCACAGCUACUUCCUGGUCAGCGCAAUUGGCCCCCGAUCGCUGACUGGUCGCUGGGGGGGGGCACGUGCCCCCGCCCCCGACUAAGGUGGCACCAGUCACCCAUGGCUGCUUGCUGAGAAGUGAGGCAUUACCAUGGACAAGAUAAUCUGGUGCUGAGUCACUAUGUAGCUCGAAAUUAAAAGAAUAACAUCUGGCAAGGAGGCAAACCACUGGCACAAAACAAAACGCAUCAAUCCCCUUCCUCUGCCUAAUCCAGAAGGUUUAAAAAGAACAUCUGUGUAUCUUUCUACUACAUUUUAAGUGCCUACAAAACAGAAAUACAGUGCUGAACUUCACCAGGCACUGGUGAAUAAUUAAUGAUGUCAGACAUUCAUAGAAAUCCAAGAUGGCAUCUCAUGCAGCUCUCCCAUCUCCUUCUAGUGGGUAGGAAACCAUACUGAAGUUGAAGUCCACUAUACUUUUGAACUAAUAGAGAUGGUCUCCUCAAAAAAUGUAUUAUGACACUUAAAGAGAGCUUUAAUCAAGAGUUAAGCAACUGUUAGAAUCUGGUCAAGUCAUCAGAUUGCCUCAAAUCAUCGAUAUUGACUUCUUUCAAUGUUCUCAUAAACCUUUC